rnacentral:tRNA from 1 species
ACAGAAGAUAGUUUAAAAAAUAUUAAUUUUGGAAAUUAAAGACAAAGUCUUUUGACUUUUUUUCUG